CGUGUAGGCGGUUGGUCAAGUCUGGCGUGAAAGCCCGGGGCUUAGCUCCGGAAGUGCGCUGGAAACUAGCCGACUGGAGCGCGAUAGAGGAGGGUGGAAUUCCUGGUGUAGCGGUGAAAUGCGUAGAUAUCAGGAGGAACACCGGCGGCGAAGGCGGCCCUCUGGAUCGUUGCUGACGCUGAGACGCGAAAGCGUGGGGAGCAAACAGGAUUAGAUACCCCGGUAGUCCACGCUGUAAACUAUGGGUACUAGGUGUUCGGGGUGUUGACCCCCUGAGUGCCGACGCUAACGCAUUAAGUACCCCGCCUGGGGACUACGGCCGCAAGGCUAAA
rnacentral:rRNA from 1 species